rnacentral:rRNA from 1 species
UACGAAGGGGGCUAGCGUUGCUCGGAAUUACUGGGCGUAAAGCGCACGUAGGCGGCUUCUUAAGUCGGUGGUGAAAUCCUGGAGCUCAACUCCAGAACUGCCUUCGAUACUGGGAGCUCGAGUCCGGGAGAGGUGAGUGGAACUGCGAGUGUAGAGGUGAAAAUUCGUAGAUAUUCGCAAGAACACCAGUGGCGAAGGCGGCUCACUGGCCCGGUACUGACGCUGAGGCACGAAAGCGUGGGAGC